AUGCCAUCCUUGUCACAGAGGACCCCUCCCUUCCAGUCUUGUCCCCACCAGGUGCAACCCAUGUCAAACAUCAUCUCCAUCACAGGGGACCCCCUUUGCCCUGUCCCUGCCAUGAGGGAUCCCACUUUGUACGCCUUCCCCACUUCUGGGGACCCCCUUUGCCCUUUCCCUGCUGGGGGAGGACCCCACUUCAAUGCCAUCCUGGUCACUAUGGACCCCUUUGACUUGUCUCUAGCAGAUGGGGACCCCCAUCUAAAUGUCUUCCAGGUCACCAGGGACCCCCUCACCUUAUCCCUGCUGAGGCUGACCCCCUCAAACCCCAUUGUCACCCCUCAAACCCCAUCUCAGUCACAAGGGACCCCCCCCUUGCCUUAUCCCCAUGGCAGGGAGACCCCACCUAGACACCGUCCCUGUCAUAGGGGACCCCUCACCCUGUCCCCACUGGGGAACCCCACACCCCCUGCAGGACCUCCCGCCCCACACCCUGUCUUUGAGUCCACAGGAGCUCUGUGGGCCGGGGGCCCUCCCCCCAGGCCCCCCUCCCCCCCGGUGCCGACCCUGCGGAGGUGCUGUCAAUGCCCCAUGGCAGCAGGGAAGUCUCCGAGGCCCUGCACACCAAAGCCAAGCAAAUCCUGCUGGCAGACCUCGCCCCACUGCCUCCGCAGCGACGGUGUUGGUUUGGUGCCAUGCCGUGCUGGCUUGGAGCAGGGCAGAGACUGGACCUCCCUGGUGCCCCACAUGGGGCCAGGCUGGGGAGGUGUGCAUUUCCCGUGCUGGCACUCACCUGCACCCCACAUCCCACGCAGAGACCCGGGCCCCACCAGCGUCUGCCUCUGCUAAGUGUCGUCCACGGAGGCAAUGCAAAAACCCCCAUGGCACUUCUGCUUUUGGCUCUUCCCACCCUCCUCUCUGUUUGCCGGCACGCCUGGUGGGGCAUGUCCUUCCUCUUCUACUGCCUAGCUCUGGCGGUGGCAAGGACCCGCAGCCCGUCCGUCCCCAGCACCUUCCCCACGUCCUGGCAAAGGAGGGCCCGCGCCUUACCUGUGCAGAUGUGCUGGCGCACAGCUGGACCUCGGCACCCAUCUCCCCCUUGCAGCGGGAGCCGGGGUUGUGAACAGAUGGGCAGCGGCACGAGGCGCCAUGGCUGCUGCACUGUAACAUUGCACCCCCUGCUCCCUGGCACCCAGUGCCAUGCGCACCCCCUUCCCCGCAUGCGCCGGGCGGCCAGCACGCACCCUUGCCGGGGCGGCUCACCCACGGGUCGGCGCGGGUGUGCGCUGGGCGAGCUGCGCGGGGGGAAGCCGGCCCACGCGGCCGUGGCUCGGUCGCGGUGCUGGCCCGGGCGCUGCUGUGGGUGCAGCAUGUGGGGCUCCUGGUAGCCGGGGAAGAAUGGACCCCCUCCGGAGAGCGGGCUGGCUUUUAACCCCAUCCUGCCCACGUGGCCUCAACCACAGGAAGAGCCGUAGCUGUUCAGGAGAUAAACUGUGUAGCUGUCCCACCCAGUGACACCCCAGCAGUCUGACCGCAGUGUGUUCAAAACCGACAACACAGAGAUGCUGCUGCCGCUGCAGAAAGGCUCACAGGAAGCAAGAAACGCUGUUGCAGAACAAGCCAGUUACGCUCUUCUGAG
rnacentral:lncRNA from 1 species